UGAGAAUGUGCCUCGGGAACCGUGAGACAGGUGCUGCAUGGCUGUCGUCAGCUCGUGUUGUGAAAUGUUGGGUUAAGUCCCGCAACGAGCGCAACCCUUAUCCUUUGUUGCCAGCGGUUAGGCCGGGAACUCAAAGGAGACUGCCAGUGAUAAACUGGAGGAAGGUGGGGAUGACGUCAAGUCAUCAUGGCCCUUACGACCAGGGCUACACACGUGCUACAAUGGCGCAUACAAAGAGAAGCGAC
rnacentral:rRNA from 1 species